GGAAAACAAAAUACACGUUACUAAAAAGAAUCAAACCUUAAUUUCAGUCAGUCUAAGGUUCAACUAAAUGAUAAAAUUAAAAUUGGGAACAGCUUUUUAUUUGUUCAAUAACAGAAGAAGCAAAGAAAGUCUCUGUGCCACUAAAUUAAAAGUUACAAAAACAACAAUGGCACCUUAUCAAAGCAAAGGCUCACUCAACUGUACUGUCAUUCUCUUCAGUAACCUAAUUGAGUUCAUUUGUGAAUACUAAAAAAGAUAUGGAAGUCCAGAGAAUGAAAAAAUC
rnacentral:misc_RNA from 1 species